AAGACUGUACUUUCAGGGAUCAUUUCUAUAGUUCGUUACUAGAGAAGUUUCUCUGAUAGUGUAGAGCGCCGAAAACCAAGAGGAGGGGGUACAGCAUUCUCUCCUGAGCAUGAAGCUGGCUCUUGUGUUGUUUUCCUGCAACUGCCAUUUGCUAUAUCGAGAGCAGAUCGUUUGUUCUUGCUUUCCUUUGGGGAAGUAAGAGGGAGAGUGUGCGGU
rnacentral:snoRNA from 1 species